rnacentral:piRNA from 1 species
UGACAAUAGGUGCAAGGUAUC